rnacentral:rRNA from 1 species
CUACGGGAGGCAGCAGUGGGGAAUAUUGCACAAUGGGCGCAAGCCUGAUGCAGCGACGCCGCGUGGAGGAUGAAGGCCCUCGGGUUGUAAACUCCUGUUGGGGGGGAACAAAUCAAUGAGUGAUCCCCUGAGGAAGCACGGGCUAAGUUCGUGCCAGCAGCCGCGGUAAGACGAACCGUGCGAACGUUAUUCGGAAUCAUUGGGCUUAAAGAGCACGUAGGCGGCAUUGUAAGUCUAAGGUGAAAUCCCAUCGGCUCAACCGUGGAACUGCCUUAGAUACUGCAGUGCUUGAGGGAGAUAGGGGCAUUUGGAACUUCCAGUGGAGCGGUGAAAUGUGUUGAGAUUGGAAGGAACGCCGGUGGCGAAAGCGAAAUGCUGGGUCUCUUCUGACGCUGAGGUGCGAAAGCUAGGGUAGCGAACGGGAUUAGAAACCCUUGUAGUCC